AUUAGAGGGCAGUGUCCUACAUCGGUUUUCUACACGUCCGGUAAGAUGGUCACUAUGAAUCAAAGUCAUAUGUUGAACCAGCCGUCUCUGGACUUUUCAAGUACAUAGUGCUAGCUAUUUCACCGACAACGUUACAAGAGAUAGCGAUAAAAGACAUAUUUAAAGAAUUGUAUAUUAUUAGAAAACACGGACUUCAAAGACAAAACAUGUAUAUACACAAUUUUCGCUAAAUUUGAAAUGAAAAUUUCCGAGAACCUGACAACUACCACUGGAAGGCAUCCAGAGGCCUAGGUAUUUUGAUCUGCGUAGUUACCAUGGCCAGUGUCUAUCUGUGCAUGCUCUGUGACUGGUGCACGAGAUUGUUGUAGAGGCGCCUAGGCUAGUCUUUGAAAACAAAAUAUAAUAAAAAA